AUGGCAAGUGCCGGGUGGGACGAGAUGGUUUAUGUCUGGCAGCACGGGACGGACCCGAGGGCCAUGCCUUGAUUGUGAGUUCAGGUCCAGUACAGGCAGACAGCAACUUCCCCGAGGGUAUGUAGAAGCUCUACAUGGUAAGCUAACGCCAAUCAAUGCAUUGUGGCAGAGGCAACUACACCAAACAUCAACAACCAGAGCACAAGACAGAUCAAAAGAAUAAAAAUGCGGAUAAGGAUAAAAGUAAAGAGCAAGAUCAGAAAACUGUAUUUAUUGUAUGAUCAAAGUUUUUAUUUUCAGCUGUGCAACAUUUUUUCAAAGUAGUGUGAUUAGAUGUGAUUUAGGAAUGGGUACGUGCACUUAAAUACAGCAAUGUAGGCGCCAUUUUUCACUUUGAUUUUAACUUUGAUGCCCAAACUUCUUUUUUGCCCAAAAGAUAUUCCAAAGUUUACUUUGUUACCCUGAAAUGAUGACAGGAGGUUAAGUUUUUUUUUUUUUUGAACAUUUGUAUUUUUUUUAUGGGCAAAAUUUAGAGUGUCAUAAGUUAAAAAAUGGUGUAAAUUUUGGAGUAUUUAAGUGGAAUAACCUUUUAGGA